CUACGGGAGGCAGCAGUGGGGAAUAUUGUGCAAUGGGGGAAACCCUGACACAGCGACGCCGCGUGAGCGAAGAAGGCCUUCGGGUCGUAAAGCUCAAUAGUAUGGGAAGAAAGAAGUGACGGUACCAUACGAAAGCCCCGGCUAACUACGUGCAAAAA
rnacentral:rRNA from 1 species